GUGCAGGAGGGAGGCACACAUGAGACAUGCCAGAUGAUGAAUCCCGUCCGUACUUGCGCUUAGCUGCCAGCAGCGGCGACGACAGCGAGGCGGGAAUGUCGCAGAGGUCGCGCUCACGCUUGGCCCCGGCGCGAGGCGACUCCGCGUCCGCCGCCGCCUGCGACUCCUCGGGGACUCCGCCCGCGACGAAUCCAAGCUGCAGUACCCGUUCUCCGCCGACGACAUGGGUAGAUCCCUGGCUCGCUCGCUCGCUCGCCGCCGCCUCCUCGGUGCCCACGCCCGCCUGGCCGGAGCAGCGCACGGAGCCCCGCCUCGCCUCGCCUCCCCCCAACGCCCGCGGCUCCGGAUGGCUCCUCGUCAUGGAUCCUCGUCUGAUGGGCAUUGAGCAGGCAUCCGGGAGGGUGUUGUUCGUGGUGCUGCGAGACCUCCCUUGGAGGCGUGCAGGCCAACCUCGUUGAGAUCCUGAGUGAGGGCGACCACGACACGCGGGUCUCCCUCCUAGGCCUCCCAUCGCUAUCCGUCGCCAAGUUGAUGCAAGAUGAAGGGUUGUAUGCCAUAGAGGGAUUUCCAGGAGUUUCAGUUUUUCAGGUUUAAAUAGUUUCACCUAAUUUGCAAUUUAUUUACAUACGAGAUCACUUGUUGGUAUUAUUAUUUCAGGGCAACUUGCUUAGGGAUGCAGCUUCAGUUAGUUCAGGUAUUUGCUCCUCACCAUGGAUGAGCCAUAAAGCCCACUGAAAGAAGAAAGUGUAGCUUUUCAAUGUUUAAGUUAAAGCUAAAGUUCCUAUCAUAAUUAUCAGCUAGGGUCAUUCAUUUAGUAAUAGGGCCCGUGCGUUGCUACGGGUAAUAAUAUAAUAGACCUAUAUAAUACUAUUAACUUUUUGUUUCAUGGUCAGAUAGUUUUGCAUACCGAUCUCUUUCUCGCUUCCUCUUACGUUCUUUAGGAUCUGUGAGUGAUGGUUGGUCACCGGAUAUCAUGGGCCCACUAUCAUUGCUAAUGUUGUCGUCAUCUGAAAAAUAGUAUUAUUCAUUUUUAGUUGCAAUAUGAGGUGGAAUAAACAUUUGUAGAAGAUAAUUGAUUAAUAUUACUUGUGUUGGUGGUGGUGCUUUGGUCAUUCA